GGCCCGGUAGCUCAGUUGGUAGAGCAGCGGACUGAAAAUCCGCGUGUCGGUGGUUCGAUUCCGCCCCAGGCCACCA
rnacentral:tRNA from 3 species